UGGGGAAUAUUGCACAAUGGGCGCAAGCCUGAUGCAGCCAUGCCGCGUGUGUGAAGAAGGCCUUCGGGUUGUAAAGCACUUUCAGCGGGGAGGAAGGCGGUGAGGUUAAUAACCUCAUCGAUUGACGUUACCCGCAGAAGAAGCACCGGCUAACUCCGUGCCAGCAGCCGCGGUAAUACGGAGGGUGCAAGCGUUAAUCGGAAUUACUGGGCGUAAAGCGGACGCAGGCGGUCUGUCAAGUCGGAUGUGAAAUCCCCGGGCUCAACCUGGGAACUGCAUUCGAAACUGGCAGGCUAGAGUCUUGUAGAGGGGGGUAGUAUUCCAGGUGUAGCGGUGAAAUGCGUAGAAAUCAGGAGGAAUACCGGUGGCGAAGGCGGCCCCCUGGACAAAGACUGACGCUCAGGUGCGAAAGCGUGGGGAGCAAACAGG
rnacentral:rRNA from 1 species